UCCUAAUAGUUUCUAAUAUUAGGAAAUUCUUUGAACUUUCCUAGAAGUUCUAAGAGUAGGCACAUAUCCAUCCACCUAUUCAUUCAUUCAUUUGUUAAAUAUGAGGGCCCGCUCUGCCUAUUCUGUAAUAACCCAGUGCUUCCAGGGAUAGCAAUAACACUGGCUCAGCUAUUCAGAAAAAAAGCUGAGUGCCUACUAUGUGCAAGUUGUCAUAUGCUAAAAUGUGAGCUUACCAAGAUAACUGCAAGUGUCUGCCCUCAAGUUGCUUAUAGUUUGCCACAGGAAGACCAAAAUAUAUACUUAUUGAGAGAAAGAAGAUAAAGUUACGAGUGUUACAGCCCCGAAUAUGGUGGGUGCUUAAGCUGUUUGUUAAGCAGUUGAGUGGCAGGGAGGGAGAUAUUCAAGGCAGAAAGCUGAUUGAGAAAGCAGUAAUAGAUGAGAUUAUAGUGGCAGGAUGGUCGAAGUAGGAAAGGCUUAGAGCAAGGGCUAGACUAUGUCAUGUGUUCUGUGUAGAAGUGAAAAUUUGUAAGCUCUAGACUUUUUAUUCUGCUCGAUCUAAUUAGAAUCAGUGAGCAUAAAAUAGGUUUCUAAUAGCAAGAACUUGCUAUUUAGAUAAGGGUAAAAGCGGAAAUACUAUUAAACAGUCAUUUACCUUGAAGAAAAUAUAAACAGUAGGCUUGUGAGGGUAAAGAUAUUUUCUUGUAGGAUUUAUAUUUACCGUGUAUCCUGUAGUUAUGAGGUUGAGUGGUUUUAUUUUUGCUUAAGAUAACCUCUCCUGUGAGAUUUUACUUUGAUUGCAAAGGUUGUAUUGCUUUUCCUCUUGAGACUGAUGUAUUUGUUACAGCAAGUUAUACCUGCUCACUGUAGAAAUUUGAGUUUUAUAAUAUUUAGCCCCCUAUCACUGUCACUUUUCUGGGAAUACUUGAACAUGAAUAAUUUUUGUCUUGUCACACCCUAGCCCUGUUUGCUUUGGUUAAUGUCCAAUGUGCAAAUGCCUCAUUUUCCUCCCACCCAUCCUGAGUGUUUUCUUCCUCCUUACCGAAACUAAAAACAGCCCCUUCCCUGAAGGUACUGCUUCCUUUGCAGCCUAUUCCAGUGGUGGCUGGUUUAUUUUCAUCCAUAUGACUCAUUGUUAAGAGGUGGCGGAGGUGUUUUCCUUGUUCCUUUGUCAUGUCUUCCAUCUCAACCCCCACACACAUCUCUUUAAAAAGAGUAACUGUCCAUUCACUCUGGUAGGGUAAUUUACUAAAAUGUCAAAUGUUUUUCCUAUAAUUCUCCUUGGUGAAAAGCAUGGAUUCUGGAGACAAAUCGGAGCCCUGGCAUUUAUCAGCUGCAGGACUCAAGGGAUGUUCCUUGUCAGUGUACCUUAGUUAUCUAUGUGUAAAGUGGGCCUAAAAUCAGUACCAGCCUCAUAGGAUUUGCAAUGAGAAUUAAGUUAAUACACGUAGAGCUUAAAAUAGUGCCAGCCAUGUAGUAAGUGCUCAGUAAGUUUUAGCUCUUUUUAGUGCACAGGUGGAGAGAUUGCCUUAGGUGGAAGCAUGCAGGGCUUCAGUACAUACUAGGAGGGAACUGUUGCAGGUGGGUUGGAGAUGCCCAUGGUGGCAGCUUUUGGAAAUUGAUUUCACAUUUCUUCUGUUUUCUCAGGGACAUAUACAUCAAGGUCAUCAUAAAAAUGAUGACACAUGAGGAGGUGUUAUGUUUGAAGACAGGCAGAGAAGGAAAGGACUAGAGACAUUUAGUCAAUUAGCAGGCAAUGCUAAAGACCCAGUUGAGGUGAGUGCUCAUGAAUUUAGAGUGCAAUCAUCAAGCUUCGUUCUGAGUUUUUCUGCAGUCAUAUUUAGCUUUCUAGAUACAGUCUCAGAAAAAACCAGUUGCUUGGAUUUAAUCAUGAUUGGGUGUUCCCAGGUGAAUUUGAUGACGUGAGUUGAGCAUGUGCACAAGGGAGUGAUUAAAAUGAUGGACCAUAGAAUUUAAGCUAUGUGAGAAGGGAAGUGAAGACAUAUGAGUGGUAAGAAACAAUGAGUAACAGGAUCAAUAUUUUGUAGACCUUAAUGGGGUCAUGUCAUUGUUAGACUUGGGGUACUAUUUAGGAUGAACUAGAAUGGUAAUAUGCAGUAGUGAGAAAUAAGAAUGCGUCAAUUGAGGGUAAAACAGAAUUGGCAACCAGAGGACAAAGCUGUCUACAAAUACACUUCCCCUUCAUUUUGGGCACAAAGUUAGACACAUUUCCUGGCACUCUUGCAGUUAAGUGUAGACAUAGGACUGAGUUCUGGCCAAAGGAACGUGAUCAGAGAUGUGUAGCAUUUCUGGGUCUGGCCCUAAAACAUCCCCAUAUGUGAUCCUCCUUGCCUCCUUCCCUACACUGAGUUGAUGAAAGUGACUGUAGUAACCUAGUAAGUCAUGUGCUAAAGAUAACAGAACCACAGAAAGGAAGGAGCUUGAGUCAUUGCUUUGAGGAGAGCUGUCUGCUGAUCAAGAACACCCACUUUAGAUUUCAUGUGAAGAAGAAAUAAACUUCUGUAAUGUUUGAGUUCUAACAUUUUGGGGAUUGGUGUGUUACGUUAUUGUGGUUGACAUUAUCUAAACUAACACUGAAGCCUUCUAGAUUUUGGUGAUACAAGGGUUUAAACAGAACUAUGGUUGUGAGAAGUUGAGAUAAAAUGGUGGACAAAAGUAUUGGUGCGGAGGAGGCCAUGGAACAUCUUAAUUGAUACUGAAAUCACCAAGAAGCAUGGGGAUUCAUGUUAGAGAGUGAUACUGAGUCAGGGGCUAAAAUCUUCACGAAAUGAGUGGUUUGUACAUCUGAAGAUGAUUGCAAACAAGAAGAUAGCAGGUGCUAUAUUCUGAUGAUACGUGACUCGAAGGAAAGGGUUUUGUGGAAAGGAAGGAGGACUGGUCUGCAAAUAGCAAUGAUGAAUAAAAUAGGGCACCAACUUCACCUCUAUGCCUGGUACUAUGUGGAAUGAAAGUGCAAUGAGAUAUUUUUGCCUAUCAGAGAUUUGUUUGCACAUUCAAACCCACUGUAUGAUCCUCUUCCACCCCUUGUUAUUGCAAUCCCCCUACUUUCUGGUCACCCACCCCUGUCUGUUGAGGGAUUUGGAACUGGCUCACUGUCUCCCAACCAUCCUACAAUCUGGUAUUAUCCAUAAUUAUUUCACAUUGACAAGGAUGACUCCUUAUAACAUCUGUGCCUCUGGUUUUAUUGACCUUUUGAUUUCUAAUGACCUCCUUCACUCUACCUGAGUCACUCAUCUCCAUGGAACCUUCUUAAAUCACUAAUUCAGGCAUAUUUUCUUGCUCAAUAUAAUCUUUUCCGCUUUCUAGUUUAGUUACUGCAGUAUGUUCAUCAACUCUCCACUUUCUUCCUAUUUAUAAGUCUCCUACUGUGAUGGAUAUUUUCUGUUUGUUCAUCCAGGACCACUCUCUAGCACACUCCAACUUGCUGUGACCUCAGAGGCUGACCUAUAAUGGAAGCUGUGGAGGGGAGAGCUGCAUUCCUUCUAAUUUUUGUUUUGUCUCAAAACACUCCACAACUUCUUAUUUUAUUUCACUUUUUUUUUCUACCAUCCUAUCACCAAAGGAUGGCUCCCCUUCCUUUUGACCUUUUCCUCUUUUAGGAACUACACCUUUCAAAGGCUAUCAACUCAGAUCACAUUAUGUUUAUGGCCCUUUCCUGAAGGUAGUGCUUGUAGUUAGUGCUCUGGUCUACAAGGACACCUUUUCAGCAUUUUCAUUUUUACGGCAGACUCUUACUUUCUGGCAAUGGUUUUGGAGCAAUUUGAGGACUUUGCUAGCUCAGCUUUUUUCACUUUCAUUGAAGUCUUUCCACAGACUGCCCUUGCUCACCACAGAGGCUUCUAGGAGCAGUGUGAAGGACUCCUGGGUUGUUUUUGUUUUGUUUGUUUUCUUAUAGGCAAUUUGAAGUAGGUGCUUUGUCUUCUAGUUAUGUUGAGAAUGUGGUUUUCAUGUGACCAGACUUCCUAUUGGUGUGGCUGUGGAAAAUCAGAUGUUUUUAUAUAUUAUUGGUGGGAAUGCAAACUGAUACGGCCAUUUUAUAGGGGAAUUUUCCAAUAUCUAAAAAAAACCCCACACAUACGCAUUUACCCUUUGAUCCACCAGUCUCACAUCUAGAAAUGAACUCUGAAGAUAUACCUCCAAUAAUAUGAAAAUAUACAGUACAAGGAUAUUCACCAAAACAUUGUUUGUCAUUGCAAAAGACUGGAAACCACCUAAAUGCUCAUAUGUAGGACUUGCUCAAUAAGCUAUGUUAUAUCCAAACAGUGGAGCAUUAUGCAGCUCUGAAAAAAGAAUGAGGAAUAUCUGUAUGAACUAUUAUGAAGUAUUUCUAGGAUAUAUUAUUAAGUGAAAAAAGUAAAUACAAAAGACUGGUAUGCUACUUUUCAUGUGAAAAAGAA
rnacentral:lncRNA from 1 species